ACUGAACGCUGGCGGCAUGCCUUACACAUGCAAGUCGAACGGUAACAGGUCUUCGGAUGCUGACGAGUGGCGAACGGGUGAGUAAUACAUCGGAACGUGCCCGAUCGUGGGGGAUAACGAAGCGAAAGCUUUGCUAAUACCGCAUAAGAUCUACGGAUGAAAGCAGGGGACCGCAAGGCCUUGCGCGAACGGAGCGGCCGAUGGCAGAUUAGGUAGUUGGUGGGAUAAAAGCUUACCAAGCCGACGAUCUGUAGCUGGUCUGAGAGGACGACCAGCCACACUGGGACUGAGACACGGCCCAGACUCCUACGGGAGGCAGCAGUGGGGAAUUUUGGACAAUGGGUGAAAGCCUGAUCCAGCCAUGCCGCGUGCAGGAUGAAGGCCUUCGGGUUGUAAACUGCUUUUGUACGGAACGAAAAGACUCUUUCUAAUAAAGAGGGUCCAUGACGGUACCGUAAGAAUAAGCACCGGCUAACUACGUGCCAGCAGCCGCCGUAA
rnacentral:rRNA from 1 species